CUACAGAGGGUGCGAGCGUUAAUCGGAAUUACUGGGCGUAAAGCGCGCGUAGGCGGUCUAUUAAGUCAGAUGUGAAAUCCCAGGGCUCAACCUUGGAACUGCAUCUGAUACUGGUAGACUAGAGUUUUGGAGAGGGAAGUAGAAUUUCAGGUGUAGCGGUGAAAUGCAUAGAGAUCUGAAGGAAUACCAGUGGCGAAGGCGACUUCCUGGCCAAAAACUGACGCUGAGGUGCGAAAGCGUGGGUAGCAAACGGGAUUAGAAACCCUUGUAGUCC
rnacentral:rRNA from 1 species